GCUCGGCAUCCGGGCCGGGCGCUGGGGAGGGAGGUACGCCUCUCCCCGGGCGGCCAGGAAGCGGGGACGUGGGAGCCAUACGAGCGGCGGGGGACUCACCUGCAGCAACACCGCUAGCAGGAAGCACAGCUUUGUUUCAUUCUAGACAUGUUUAUGGAAGAAGGGUUUAUUUGUCUAUCCAAUUUUCAAUCUUUUGUUUUUUCCUAGAAAUAACCAGUUCUUCAAAUGCUCUUAGAACCAGCUUUACCAUCCUACUGCUUCCUUCAUCAAUUAAAAUAAAAUCAUCGACAUGGGUUCAUUCUGUAUAGCAUCCUGGUGACCUGCAUGCCUUUUCCUCACCAUCUUCUUCCCAUGGUCAAGACAUGAGACAGGUCCAUUGAGGAUAAAAUGAAGAACUAAAGAUGAAGGAAGAAAUACCUGCUGUAUGUAUCUUCCGGAGUUGCUGCAUGUGCUACCUGAGACUCUAUGUAAACACACUUUUUAGUUCUGCUUCCUUUGUAGAGAUUUCUGAUCUUCUAGAUGAGAUUCAUUUACUUUUAUCUAGUCCCCGAGUCACCAGUUGCAUACAUACACAGACCGGCUGGGAUUAGUGGUGUGGUCUGUGAGGGUGAAAUUGAGUGAGAAGAACCAUAAAAGGCCCCAAAUCUGUGGCUCUGACUUCAUUAACCAGGCACAGUAUUCAUCAAUGCGAUCCAUCUUCAGCCAAAUGCAGCUUUCUGCCCUUUUGCCGGCUUAGCCCUGCUAUCAGCAGCUGGGGGGCCUGCCAAAGGGCAGGGGGAGGGAGCCGCAGGUUGCCCACACUGCAGAUGAUCUCAGGAAUAUUCAAGAAGGACUGUAAAACAAAACCCCCAGUCUUGUCAUUUUACUUCAAAAAGCAAAAAAAUCUCCCAGAUAAUAAGCAUUUUGCUCUAAUAAGAACUGUAGGAUUGAUUAGGUUCAAACUGUUAGCAGACAUCCUUCUGGUUAAUGAAGCAGCAUUGAAAAUGCCUCUUGAUUCUUUGGGAACUUAAAUCAUACAAAGGCAGCAAGGAGCAAGAAGAGAACUGGAGGUGGGGUAGACUAAACUGUCUGCUAGUUACAAACGUACUCAAGAUAAUGAACAAAAAAUGUUUGUUCUUUGAAAAGCUAAUAUUUAUUGACAGUCAUCUCUG